AUGCUUGGAAGGGCGUCGACCGGAGACUGCAAGGUGUUGUACAUCGGCAUGUCUCCCAGGCCCAACAGACAGCAGUUCUGCAAGGUCCUCACCCUCUCGGUCGACCAUGAGUGGAGAGAGACGGGGUGCCCGCCGGCCAGGGUCAUGACGGGCUACUCAGGAGGGGCAGCAGCCGUCAAAGGGGUUGCCUACUUCUUCCCGUCCGUUCUGCGAGCUCCGGCACCCGGCAACAAGGGGUACAUCAUGGCGUACGACCUGGAGAAGGAGGUGUGGCGGUCGGCCUCUGUGCCGGCCCCGGCACCUGGCAACAAGAAGGUAGUGAACGAGUUGAGCCACGGCUUGGCCGAGCUGGGCGGCUGCUUGGCCCUAAUGUACGGGGACGAGCACGGGUCCAUGGAGCUGUGGUUGCUCGUGGACCCCGACCAGGCUAUCUGGUCCAUGCAGUGCACCAUCACAGUGCCGUAUCGUUACCAGGGGGUCCAAGGGUCACAUCUUCCUCUGGAUGUGGCGGAGCCCCUCUGGUUGCUAGAAGAUGGCAGGAUCAUCAUGUGGAUGUGGAUGUCGGGAGAGCAUCCGCACGGGGUGUUGUGUAUGUAUGAUCCAAGAACCAUGACGUACACAGAUGUGGCGGACAUGCCAAAUUACACGCUGGCAGGUGUGUAUACCGGGAGCUUGUUGGGAAGAUGGAAUUUACGUCGCCUUCUCCACCAAGGAAGUUCAUCUAGUAUUCUCCUAUACCAGCUAGCAAUAAUUUGCCAUAUAAAAAUAUUUUUUCCUUCUAUAUUUUCUCUUUUGCGAGUUAAAUUGUUUAUUUCUAUUAUAGGCAUAUAUUGGUUGCUGAUAUAUGGUGACAAUUUUUAUCUCUACUCUUAUAAAAAACCGAGUUGGUGA
rnacentral:rRNA from 1 species